ensembl:ncRNA lncRNA:CR44772 long non-coding RNA:CR44772
AUUGUGGGAACCAGCUCGUCAACCCCCGAACGAAAACUGGGAUAUGGAAGGGAUGGAUCGGAGUAAUGUAGGGGCGGCCAAUCUAUGAAUUAUGUACCUACAUACGUACAUGCUCCUGGCUAAGAACUACUACCCCUGGGAACACCGAAGCGAGGUGAUUGCCCCACCCAAAAUGGCCAACUGCAAUUGAAACAAACUUUUAUUGGCAUCGGAACAGAUGCCAAAUGGGUGGUAUGU